AGAGUUUGAUCCUGGCUCAGAUUGAACGCUGGCGGCAGGCCUAACACAUGCAAGUCGAGCGGAAACGAUCCUAGCUUGCUAGGAGGCGUCGAGCGGCGGACGGGUGAGUACUGCAUAGGAAUCUGCCCGGUAGUGGGGGAUAACCUGGGGAAACUUAGGCUAAUACCGCAUACGUCCUACGGGAGAAAGGGGGCCUUGGCUCCCGCUAUCGGAUGAGCCUAUGCCGGAUUAGCUGGUUGGUGAGGUAAUGGCUCACCAAGGCGACGAUCCGUAGCUGGUCUGAGAGGAUGAUCAGCCACAUCGGGACUGAGACACGGCCCGAACUCCUACGGGAGGCAGCAGUGGGGAAUAUUGGACAAUGGGGGCAACCCUGAUCCAGCCAUGCCGCGUGUGUGAAGAAGGCCCUCGGGUUGUAAAGCACUUUCAGUGAGGAAGAACGCCUGGCGGUUAAUACCCGCCAGGAAAGACAUCAUUCACAGAAGAAGCACCGGCUAACUCCGUGCCAGCAGCCGCGGUAAUACGGAGGGUGCAAGCGUUAAUCGGAAUUACUGGGCGUAAAGCGCAUGCAGGCGGUUUGUUAAGUCAGAUGUGAAAGCCCGGGGCUCAACCUCGGAACCGCAUUUGAAACUGGCAGGCUAGAGUCUUGUAGAGGGGGGUAGAAUUUCAGGUGUAGCGGUGAAAUGCGUAGAGAUCUGAAGGAAUACCAGUGGCGAAGGCGGCCCCCUGGACAAAGACUGACGCUCAGAUGCGAAAGCGUGGGUAGCAAACAGGAUUAGAUACCCUGGUAGUCCACGCCGUAAACGCUGUCUACUUG
rnacentral:rRNA from 1 species